CCUGCGGAGGGAUCAUUACAGAGUUCUAAAAGACUCCCAAAACCAUUGUGAACGUACCCGUCAGCGUUGCCUCGGCGGGCGGCCCCUCCCUGGGGCCGCUGCCUCCCUCGGGGGGUGCCCGCCGGCGUACCAAAACUCUUUUGUAUUUUAGUGGCCUCUCUGAGAAAACAAGCAAAUAAGUUAAAACUUUCAACAACGGAUCUCUUGGUUCUGGCAUCGAUGAAGAACGCAGCGAAAUGCGAUAAGUAAUGUGAAUUGCAGAAUUCAGUGAAUCAUCGAAUCUUUGAACGCACAUUGCGCCCGCCAGUACUCUGGCGGGCAUGCCUGUUCGAGCGUCAUUUCAACCCUCAAGCCCUGCUUGGUGUUGGGGUCCUACGGCUGCCGUAGGCCCUGAAAGCUAGUGGCGGGCUCGCUAUAACUCCGAGCGUAGUAGUAAAAUAUCUCGCUAGGGAGGUGUCGCGGGUUCCGGCCGUGAAAGCCCAUCUUUUACACAAGGUUGACCUCGGAUCAGGUAGGAAUACCCGCUGAACUUAAGCAUAUCAAUAAGGCGGAGGAA
rnacentral:rRNA from 1 species